AUGACAGAUGACACGGAAUCCUCCUCGGAUAUUUUAAAGACAUGUAAAACAGUGAAUAAGCUCAAACAUAGCAAGAGCGCCUACGAAUUUGAAUCCUUACGCCCAAAAGAAAGGAGUUCCAGUUCAGAGAGCCUAACAGAAAGUCCCCUAAUCAGCAAAAUGCCUUGGUAUGCUACUGUGAUUCAGGAUAAGGAUCGGACCUUGCUCAUGAUGAAAGAUGAGAUCAACCGACUUACUACCAUGGAAGAGGCUUGCCUGAAGAAGGACUCUGAGCUUGCCUUUCUCAAAGCAGAGGUGAAAUCACUAAAGAAACAGCUGCAACACCUAAAUGAAGUUCGAGGAACAGAUGUUGACUCCGAUGUAAAGAUCCCAAGCUUGAGCAAAGCCAUCGUUGGUGCCCCAGACAGAAGUCGGGACCUGGAGUCAAGUGACCAUAUGGCAGAAGAAACCCAGAUCUGUCCAGAGACCAAGAUGCGUAAGGAAGAGAGUUUUCUUUCCUGUAUGACUUAUGAAGAGUCUGAGCCACAAGACGAAAUCACCAUCAUAGGGGGAAAGGAUCAAGUGUGCCUGGACACCUAUGAGCCUCUCCCAUCCUAUGAUGCCAGAGAGGCCAGUGUCUCAGGAAGUGUUGUAAAAGAUGAAGAGGAGGUACAAAAAUCAAUGAAAGAGGCUUCUCGUUCUUUGGGAAGAGUCCGAAGGGCAGUCCUCCACCCUGAAGAGUGUUAUAGUGGAAUAGAAAGUAAAAUCACUGAGGAAGAUGAGAAAGAGUCCGAAGAGGACAUGGAAGGCGCUGAUUUUUUAGACAGGGAACUAGAGGAAGAGCUUAUGGCCAGGAUUGAGGAAUAUGAACAGGCGAAUCAAGAGCUCCUGAAUGAACUGGACAUCAUGAGAAAUGAGUAUUCAAUUGUUUCAGUUCCUCUUUCUUCUCUCCUUCCUGAUUCUCUUAUUUCCCUUUCUUUCUUCUUCAUUUCCUCCCUUUUCCUUCUUUUUUCUCCCUAACGCCCUCUCUUCAUGUUUUCCUUUUCAUCUUUUCUUCCUCUGAUUCUCUCUGUCUACUCUCUUUUCUUU
rnacentral:lncRNA from 1 species